AUUACCUAGGGAUCUCGUUAAAAACCAGAUUCUGAUGCAGGGACCAAGAUUCUGUAUUUUUAGCAAGUUGUCAAGUGAUGCUAA
rnacentral:pre_miRNA from 1 species